rnacentral:rRNA from 1 species
UACAGGGGGAGCAAGCGUUAUCCGGAAUGAUUGGGCGUAAAGCAUUCGUAGGUGGUAGGUGAAGUCUACUGUCAAAUACCAGGGCUCAACCUUGGACAGGCAGUGGAGUACUCAUUUACUAGAGCGUGGUAGAGGUAGAGGGAAUUCCCCGUGGAGCGGUGAAAUGCGUAGAGAUGGGGAAGAACACCGGUGGCGAAAGCGCUCUACUGGGCCAAGGCUGACACUGAGGGAUGAAGCUGGGGGAGCAAAUAGG